AACUGUGUUAGAAAAGACAAGGGUAUUGAGGGGUUAUAGGGUAGUAAAUGCAGCAGGGCUUAUGUAGCAAGUG